AUUGAACGCUGGCGGUAUGCUUAACACAUGCAAGUCGAACGGUAGCACAGUCUAGCUUGCUAGAUGGGUGACGAGUGGCGGACGGGUGAGUAACGCGUAGGAAUAUGCCUUGAAGAGGGGGACAACUUGGGGAAACUCAAGCUAAUACCGCAUAAUAUCUUCGGAUGAAAGUUGGGGACCAUAUGGCCUGACGCUUUAAGAUUAGCCUGCGUACGAUUAGCUAGUUGGUAGGGUAAAGGCCUACCAAGGCGACGAUCGUUAGCUGGUCUGAGAGGAUGACCAGCCACACUGGAACUGAGACACGGUCCAGACUCCUACGGGAGGCAGCAGUGGGGAAUAUUGGACAAUGGGGGGAACCCUGAUUCAGCAAUACCGCGUGUGUGAAGAAGGCCUGAGGGUUGUAAAGCACUUUCAGUGGGGAGGAGGGUUGAUAGGUUAAGAGCUAAUUAACUGGACGUUACCCACAGAAGAAGCACCGGCUAACUCCGUGCCAGCAGCCGCUGUAAAAC
rnacentral:rRNA from 1 species